rnacentral:rRNA from 1 species
UACGAAGGGUGCAAGCGUUACUCGGAAUUACUGGGCGUAAAGCGUGCGUAGGUGGUUUGUUAAGUCUGUUGUGAAAGCCCCGGGCUCAACCUGGGAAUGGCAAUGGAUACUGGCAAGCUAGAGUGCGGUAGAGGGUAGUGGAAUUCCCGGUGUAGCGGUGAAAUGCGUAGAGAUCGGGAAGAACAUCAGUGGCGAAGGCGGCUCACUGGCCCGGUACUGACGCUGAGGUGCGAAAGCGUGGGGAGCAAACAGG